rnacentral:lncRNA from 1 species
GUUUCCUAAUAUUUUAUUCAACUUUUUGAAAGCUGGGGGCGACCCCAAAACUGCAUCCCACUCAGCACGAGACCUAGAAGCUGGGCUCUGUGGAUUGAGCCAGGCUUGAUCAGUUCCCACUCUGACCCCCUCUCAGGAACCUCAGGCCGGAAAAGGGGCGUCUCCGCUCCCCCCCCCCCCUUCCAAGAUAUCGCCUUCCGCGCCCCUAUACGCUUGGAAGAUUUCUCAAACUCAUUCAUUUGUAAAGUACAAUAAAAUCGAAAAUCUCCAAGAAGCUUGAUAAAAAAAAAAGGCAGACUAAUCACAACGCAGCAGCACCUAGACUCACGCCGGGGCUCCCGGGAGCCCACCCUGCUGGCUCCCUCCUGGAGCGGGCGGGAAGUUGGGCUCAGUCUUGUUCAUGCCCCCGCCCAGGGCCUUGGCGCCUGGAGCUCUAAGCCUGUUAGGGACAGAAUUCCUGUCCUUAAAUAUACAAGCAGAUAAUUGUUGGCGCGCUAGCUUUGUGUGAGGAGGCUGGGGGUGUAAAUGGCUUUUAAUGACUGCAGCUGUGGGUUGCGAGCUGUCAGUGCAAGUGGGUUAGCGCAGAGCCCCAGAGUCAGGCGGGGAGCUGGGCGCUGAGCCGCACGGAGACUUCCCCUCGCCACCGCAGUCCCUCAAGCCACCGAGUCCGGAGCCCCGGCAGAGUCCGACUCCCUAGGCUAGGGCCAGGACCAGAACUGAGCCCAGCAAGGCACAGCGCCCCCGGAAAAAGAAGAGAAAAAGAAAUCAUGUAGAGCCCCCAAGCUGCUGGCCCCUCGUUUCCCACGGCCCCCAGCGCUGCCUGCGGCCCUUCUCGCCUAGAAGAUCCGUCUUGGAACCUUUCUGUAUUCCUGUCGCUCGAAUUCCCGGGCUCCCUCAGCCAUGACCAUUCGGAGCUGCUUUACUACAGCUGGAAAUCCUUGCAGUCGGAGCCCAGAAGUUAGGGUGCCGGAGGUGGGGUUGGAGGAUUAAAUCCCCUCGGCGAGAGACCGAGGUGAAGGGACUGGUACCAAGCGGGCUGAGCAGAGGGCAGCGAGCUGGAGUCCAAAAGCGAAAACUUCAAACCUCCUUCAGGCAUCCUCCUGGGAACCUUCCAGAAGCCUUGAAUGUGUCCUUUUGGGGAGGGGGGCAUAGUUUUCAAUCUCGAGAGUGGAUGAAGGUGAGGUGUGUGUGUGUGUGUGUGUGUGUGUGUGUGUGUGUGUGUGUGUGUGUGUGUGUGUGUAUAGGUUUGCAAAACUACUGAAAACUCAGCGAACUUGAGCCGUGGAUGGGGCCGAAUCACCAUUCUUGUGGUACCUGAGCCGCCACAACGCAACACCCUCGGAAAGCUACCGCCCGAAUGGGAGUCGCAGCCCAAGCAGAGCCGGGCUAAAUCCGUGCCCCAGCGGACACGCGGAGGUAAAAGCCUUCUGUGUCCCAAGCAGCCUCCGCUCUCUUCGGGUUUUCUCCUCGUCUGUUCAGCCCAACAGCAACGACAACUGCUCCCAUGCCGAACGCAAAAUUAAACAUAAUUG